rnacentral:rRNA from 1 species
UACGAAGGGGGCUAGCGUUGCUCGGAAUCACUGGGCGUAAAGCGCACGUAGGCGGCUUUCUAAGUCAGGGGUGAAAUCCUGGAGCUCAACUCCAGAACUGCCUUUGAUACUGGAGAGCUUGAGUCCGGGAGAGGUGAGUGGAACUCCGAGUGUAGAGGUGGAAUUCGUAGAUAUUAGGAAGAACACCAGUGGCGAAGGCGGCUCACUGGUCCGGUACUGACGCUGAGGCGCGAAAGCGUGGGGAGCAAACGGG